GAGUUUGAUCAUGGCUCAGGAUGAACGCUAGCGGCAGGCUUAAUACAUGCWAGUCGAGGGGCAGCAGCUUUWUAGCAAUAUAGAGGCUGGCGACCGGCAAACGGGUGCGGAACACGUACACAACCUUCCUUGAAUAGGGGGAUAGCCCAUAGAAAUGUGGAUUAAUACCCCGUAAUAUAGCGGUGUGGCAUCACACUGUUAUUAUAGUUUCGGCGAUUCGAGAUGGGUGUGCGGCUGAUUAGGUAGUUGGCGGGGUAAAGGCCCACCAAGCCUUCGAUCAGUAGCUGAUGUGAGAGCAUGAUCAGCCACACGGGCACUGAGACACGGGCCCGACUCCUACGGGAGGCAGCAGUAAGGAAUAUUGGUCAAUGGACGCAAGUCUGAACCAGCCAUGCCGCGUGAAGGAUGAAGGUCCUCUGGAUUGUAAACUUCUUUUAUAGGGGGCGAAAAAAGGUCUUUCUAGAUCACUUGACAGUACCCUAUGAAUAAGCWCCGGCUAACUCCGUGCCAGCAGCCGCGGUAAUACGGAKGGUGCAAGCGUUAUCCGGAUUACUGGGUUUAAAGGGGUGCKUAGC
rnacentral:rRNA from 1 species